rnacentral:lncRNA from 1 species
AAAGGAAGAACUUCCCUCAGGCUUUGUUUCAGGAACCUUGGGCCUGGCGCAUGAGGCCGCCCCUGGAGAGUGCAGAGGCUGGGACAAUCAUCUCCCCCGCCUGCGAGUCAGCCUGGCCGUGGCCAAACACAGAUGCCAUAUCACAAGGCCCCUCAGCCCAAGGCAGCGCGGCCAGCCUCACAGCUUGUCCCGAAGCCUGAGACUUGGUUUCUGUUCCUGUCUUGCCCAGAGGGCCCUUGGAGCUGCAGCCUGAGGGGGUGCUGCGGUGGGGGCGGUCGAGACCCUGGUCACUGCCACACGGUUCCCACCUUCGGCCACUGCGUUCUCUCCCCAAACACAGGGGAGCGGCUGUGGACAGGUGGCUGCCCAACGGAGUGCCGAACAACCCGAUGGGGAAACCACAGUGCCAGGCACAGAAUAGGAGCUGUCAGCCAGGGCAGGAGC